CAACAUCAUAUCCAAAUAAUUACAUUACAGCAUUAUGAAGAAGACAUUAGUGAUAUUGAGUGUGUUUCUUCUUUUGGGACUCAUCGAAGCGCAAAAUUCGACAGGUGGUUUCCCUGGAGGACCUCCUGGUGGACAAGGACCUCCCGGUCGCGGCCCAUCGCCAGGACCAGAUCCUCCAAAACGCGGUCCUCCACCUGGACCACCACCAACAACUGAAUCAUCAAAAUAAGAUAUAAAAACCGGAAAUGGAUGAAAUGUUAAUUUACAUAUGAAAUAACGUAAUAUAAUUAAAAAUUCA